rnacentral:misc_RNA from 1 species
AAGUCGUAACAAGGUUUCCGUAGGUGAAACUGCGGAAGGAUCAUUACAGAGAUAGAGCGCCCGUCGCUCGAACCUCCAACCCUUUAUCUACCCUCCCACGUUGCCUCGGCGGGACGUCCCCCUCGGGGGGCCGCGCGCACUCGUGCACUCGAGCGCCCGCCAGAGGACCACACAAACCCUGCUCAUCGUAGACGUCUGAGUGAGAAACACAAUAACUUCAAAACUUUCAACAACGGAUCUCUUGGUUCUG